AUUGAACGCUGGCGGCAGGCUUAACACAUGCAAGUCGAGCGGAGACGAGGUGCUUGCACCUUAUCUUAGCGGCGGACGGGUGAGUAAUGCUUAGGAAUCUGCCUAUUAGUGGGGGACAACAUUCCGAAAGGGAUGCUAAUACCGCAUACGUCCUACGGGAGAAAGCAGGGGAUCUUCGGACCUCUCGCUAAUAGAUGAGCCUAAGUCGGAUUAGUUAGUUGGUGGGGUAAAGGCCUACCAAGGCGACGAUCUGUAGCGGGUCUGAGAGGAUGAUCCGCCACACUGGGACUGAGACACGGCCCAGACUCCUACGGGAGGCAGCAGUGGGGAAUAUUGGACAAUGGGGGGAACCCUGAUCCAGCCAUGCCGCGUGUGUGAAGAAGGCCUUAUGGUUGUAAAGCACUUUAAGCGAGGAGGAGGCUACUGAGACUAAUACUCUUGGAUAGUGGACGUUACUCGCAGAAUAAGCACCGGCUAACUCUGUGCCAGCCGCCGCGGUAAUAC
rnacentral:rRNA from 1 species